UCAUCGCUGCGGUGUACGUGAACGAAUGAAGUUUCAACCGAUGGCUGAAAAGAGGGAGUUCUACAUCGAAACGGGAAUGUCAUGCCCUACGAUGCGGAAAUAGGGACGACACGAAUGUUUCUGCGAACACCCACGUAGUGGAGUGUGGUUGAGAAACUGCAUUCACCCAACGGCAACUCGCGGCGGCAAA
rfam:Anoxybacillus amylolyticus strain DSM 15939, complete genome.